rnacentral:misc_RNA from 1 species
ACCUUUAUAUGCAACUGUUUACACCAAAAGGGGAAAAAAACGGGUACCUUGCAAAAAGGAGUAUAACUUUGCAGUUUCAAGUCCCACUUCAACUACAACCCAAUCUGCAUUACAGGAUGGGAGUCUAAAACGACUGCAGUUUCAGCGUUUUUGAGGCCUGCAGAGACACUGGGCUCGCGUUGCAGCAAAAGAUUAGGCGGCGGCGCCCACGGUGGCGCCGGCGGUGAGCCUCGACGAGCCGUAGAGAGUCUCCUCGAACCGGAUGAUCUCGUUCUUGGAACCGUAGGCCACUUGAGUCCGCUCGUCGAGGUUGUUGAUCACCUUGUCCAGCACCGACUGUUUGCCGUCGCUGCUGUACCCGCCGGCUUUCUCUAUCAAGAAACCCAACGGCGCCACCUCGAACAGGAGCCUCAGCUUGGCCUUGGCUGUCGGAGACGUCACGUUGGUGAAGAUGCCCUUCUCCUUAACUAUGAUCUGGUUGACAUCAGGAACCAUUCCUCCAGUGUAACGCAAUGUGUACUUCUCCUUGACAUAGUAGUUGAUGAGCUUGUCAUAUUCAGGAUUAUCAAAUGUAGCCCUCAGGUUACCAGGAGAGAACAUUUUCCCCUCUCCAAUGGUUGUGGUGUCCUUGACAUGCUGCCAUUUUCCUUCAUCAAGAAGAAGGAAUUCAUGAGUUCCAGGACAAUCUUUGAGAGCGAUAAUGUAAGUAGUGCGAGGGCCAUAGAUGCCCAUGGCAGCAGCAACUUGGUCUCCACCGGUGACGCCUGUCAGCUUGUCACCAGGCCAGACACCAAAUAUGGUUCCAACUGUGAAGUUCGUGUCGACAAUGCUGGACCCAUCAAGAGGGUCGAAUGCUACACUGAAACCACCAUCGACUGGUCCACCCAUGUCUUGCAGCUCCGGGACUUCCUCGGAGCACGCAUACUUGCAGACAUGAGAGUAUUCCAGAGCCUCGAAGAGGAGCUUGUCGGCGAGCAUAUCGACGGCGAGCUGCUCGUCACCGAAGGAGUUGACGCAGGCGGUGCCGCCGCACGACGCCGUCCUGACCUUGAACGAGAUCGUCCUCAUCGCCUCCCCCAUGCAGAUGAGCAGCCUGAUGAGGUUCUUAUCCGGCGUCGCCUUGGUCAGGAACUCCUCCAGGCUGUCCCCGAUCUCGCACCGGGUGCUGAGCGCCGCCCGGCUCGCCGCCUUGGACUGCCUCCCAGACGGCAGCGACCUCGCCGUGUUAACCCGCAGCGACUCGCCGUAGAACGUGCUCGGCGGUCUAGCGGCCUUGGGCCUGUAGGACUGCGAGAAGGACAUGGCGGCGCAGCACGCUGGCGAGCGCGUCGCCGCCCCGCGGGUGUAGCUGGCCGCGGCCACCGUCUCCAUGGCCGGCCUAGCUAGUUAGUUAAUUCGCAGGGGUGACGCCGCCGGACGAGAAAACUUAAUGGCGAGGGAAAGAGAGGGGCAGGCAG